GAUGAAAGAGAUUUGGCUGUCGCUAUAGGAUGGGCCCGCGCGAUUAGCUAGUUGGUGAGGUAACGGCUCACCAAGGCGACGAUGCGUAGCCAACCUGAGAGGUGAUCGGCCACACUGGGACUGAGACACGCCCAACUCCUACGGGAGGAGCAGUAGGGAUCUUCACAAUGGCGAAAAGCGGAGGAGAACGCGCGGGAGGAAGAAGGUUUUCGAUCGUAAAACUCUGUGUAAGGGAAGACAGACAGUAGAAAUGCUGUCCUUUGAGGUACUUAUAGAAAGCACGGCUAACUACGUGCCACCGCCGCGGUAUACGAAGUGGGAAAGCGUGUCAGAAUUAUGGGCUAAGCGCGCCAGCGGCCUUUAGUCUGAUGUGAAGCCAGUCAACGUGGAGGCUUGGAACUGGGGAUUGGGCAAGAGAAGUGAAUUCAGGUUAGGGAAAUGGUAGAUUUGAAGAACACAGGCGAAGCAUUUCGGCGGUACUGAACCUAAGGGCGAACUGGGGGAAAAAGAAUAAAACCCGGGAAGCCACCCCGUAACAGAUGGCCUAAAUGUAGGGGUUCCGCCCCUAAGGUGCGGUACCAUAAACCCCUCCCCUGGGGGUAAGGUCCAGAGUCUAACCUCAAGAGAGAAUGUAGCGGG
rnacentral:rRNA from 1 species